GACAGAGCUGGGCGAUGUUAAUCCGAGCACACGGGAAAAGCUGGAGCUGAGCACGGCCACCGGUGGACUCCAUGGUCGAGGGCUAAGGGGCGCUGGGGAAACUCCAUGGCAGCCAUGGAAGAGGAGGUCGGCGGCCAUGGAGGAACAGGGGAGGAGCACGCCGAGGGAGCUGAGAGGAGCAGCUGGGCGAGACUUUGGUAGGGAGAUGGGUGCCGAACUGGAACAGGGUGGGGCGCCGGCGGUGAAGCAUCUGGGCAAGCUGGAGACUGGGCGACCGAGCGCAGGGAGCUGGACACAGAGUGAGGACGGGCGGGCACGCCAGGGAAGUCGGCGCGGCGGCCAUGGGAAGGGAA
rnacentral:misc_RNA from 1 species